rnacentral:rRNA from 1 species
GACGAACGCUGGCGGCGUGCCUAAUACAUGCAAGUCGAGCGAAUCAAUAGGAGCUUGCUCCUGUUGGUUAGCGGCGGACGGGUGAGUAACACGUGGGCAACCUGCCUGUAAGACUGGGAUAACACCGGGGAACCGGUGCUAAUACCGGAUAAUCCUUUUCCUCACAUGAGGGAAAGCUGAAAGUCGGUUUCGGCUGACACUUACAGAUGGGCCCGCGGCGCAUUAGCUAGUUGGUGAGGUAACGGCUCACCAAGGCGACGAUGCGUAGCCGACCUGGGAGGGUGAUCGGCCACACUGGGACUGAGACACGGCCCAGACUCCUACGGGAGGCAGCAGUAGGGAAUCUUCCACAAUGGACGAAAGUCUGAUGGAGCAACGCCGCGUGAGCGAUGAAGGCCUUCGGGUCGUAAAGCUCUGUUGUUAGGGAAGAACAAGUACCGGAGUAACUGCCGGUACCUUGACGGUACCUAACCAGAAAGCCACGGCUAACUACGUGCCAGCCGCCGCGGUAAGAC